GUAUGUGGCUAGAUACAAGUUUGUUCUGACCCUCUAACUCUACUUUUUCAAAUUCUGAGGCUUUCUUCUGCUUCUAGAGCUUGUCGGCACUGGUUGAGAUCUAGGAAAAGCAUUGCACCUUUACCACUCCUGUGGCCCAGCUGCUCUUACUAAGGGGCAUAGGUCUUAUCACAGACUGCGAGAGGGCUUUCUAAAUGGAUCGUAUGCCUCUAAGCCUUUAAACUGCACAUAAGAAUUCAUAAGCCUGAGUCUAUGAACCCAGUAACAGUUUGCUGUCUUUCCAAGUUUGAUAAUUGAUUUUCCAACUUCUGCUUAGUCAAUCUCCCACAUUAUUUUGCCAUAGUAGUAUUCCAUUUCUGGAUCCUAUUUUUGUAUUUGUUAGCUUUUCUGCAUAACAAAUAAGCCCCAAAUAUAGUAGCUUGCAGCAAUCAUCACUUAACAUCUCACAGUUCUUUGAGCCACUGGAGGUCUAUGCUAAGCUGAGUGGCCCAGCUGGUCUUGCCUGGAUGGCUUUACUCACCUGCUUGAUGGUUCAUUCUGUCAUCUAGUUGAUGCUGGCUAUUGACUUGUGGCUUCUCUGUCUCUUUCCAUGCUGGUGACUCGGAAGUGGAGAUAACAUCUUACAGUGGAGGAACCUACACUUGGAGUCACCUGAAAGAGGACAGCCCUUCUGGCCCACGAAGGACAUUGGUUUGCAGGUGCUCUAGGAUCAUAACCCCAGCGAAUUUCAGGAGUCCACUGUAAUAUAGAAUUCAGUAAAGAAUCCUUCAGGACCUGGGCCAUUCUUUGUUGACUCAGACUAUUCCAGAACAUUGAAAAGGGCAUGAUGUUCUAUCAUCCAACCUCUUCAUUUUGCUCAGAAAUUGAUGCCCAGAGAGGUGUAAUAAUUUACCAGAAGUUGACCAGCUAUGCUGAAGCUGAGCUGCAAGUCAACUUCAGAAUUUCUCAUUUCAGCCCAAGCCCAAGCCCAUUCUCUUGAUUCUACUUGUUUGGUUAACUGCAUGUGCAGCUCACCUAUAAAGUCUCAGGAAGCAUGGAGUAGAAAAAGAGCACGGAAUUUGCAAUCUGUGACUCAGGGUUCAGAUUCCAGCUGUACCACUUAUCCAGAGAGGAUGUUUUCUGACCUUGAGCUUCAAUGUCUACCUUUAUAAGAGGCAAGGACGGCUGCAGGGGCUCACCCGGCAAAGAAGCCACACAGACGUCAGGUGACACCUGUCCCUUGCCGCAGCAUAGAGGCGGGCCUACCUCACCUACUCGCCUGCCCUUGCAGGGAAGAAGCCCAGAGUCUAGGCCUGUGACAAAAGGCAUCACACGAGCAUCUUCUUUCAUCUCAGACUCAGCUACAUAUUCAAUCACGUUCCAUGAUGAUGACAAGUCCACUGGGCUGUCACCUUCUGCUCUGCAAUUAACUCCAGACAGUGUACCUGAUACAGCAACAUCAGCCAGAUUCACCAUGCACGUGUCAGAAGUAACCCCAAGAAUGGGAAUAAUGGUGUGGUACUUCAGGACAAACUCAAGACGGCUGUACUGGGGGAGAAGAUAGCACCACUUGUAAAGAAUCAGAAUCACAGACACAGCAACAGAAGCAACUUCCCCGCAGGACUGCCUAUCACUCCCUAUCUCCAGAACAUACCACUGAACUGGCUUCGGGACAGCCCACCUGGUUAUCGCACCUUUCCCUCUUUCUGCUUCAGGUGAUGGGGUUACCUUAGCAUAAACUGUAUGCACCUUCCCGGGGAGAAAUCUUGUGGCCCAACAUGUGACCGCUUCAGAGGUCACUUGCUGUUUCUUAAGACUUUCCACAUUCGGAUGCUAUUUACAUAUAUUCUCUAAUGGACAUUUGCUUGGUUUAUCUACUCAGAGAAAAAACUAGAUUCCAGUGACCUGGUUGUAUAAAAUGUGGUCUUCAAAUAAUAACAAUCACUUUGAUGUAUCACUUUGUUUUUGUCUCAUCAGGUGUAUAAUCAUUUUAAAAUCAAUCUUCCAAAUCAUUUUUGUUUCUAUUGAUAUGGAGACCCUAAGCAUACAGGCCUAUUUAAAUGAGCCAUAUCAAUGUAAAUUCUACUUUUCAAAGUAAUAAUGAUUAUCCCCAAAUCCAAUUAAUUACAUGAUUCUUGAAAGUUUGCUUCUCGUUGUUAAACCACUAACUGUAAUAUACCGUGACUGCAUAGGAACAUCAGGAAAACACAUUUGACCUGUAUAACAAUUCUCUGUAGGGCAAAAAAUAUAUAGAUUCUUUAUGAAAAUCAUGUGCUAAGCAUACGAACCGAACACUGCACUUUUUGUCCCAUAAAUGUAAAAACAG
rnacentral:lncRNA from 1 species